rnacentral:lncRNA from 1 species
GUGCGGUGGCCCAUUGUGGAUCAUGGUCUCAUCGAUGGGGUACGUCGUCUUGUCUGGGAAGAUGCACGUGGAGAGGCAGGAGACCACCUUCUGCACUCCGCACUCAUAUGCAGAAUGCAGGACAUUGUCGUUGAUGUGGAUGUUCCUCCUCCAAAAAUCCAGGUUGCAGCGGAUGUUUUUGAAGAGGCCCCCAACCAUAGCAGCCAGGUG